rnacentral:lncRNA from 1 species
GACGUCUCCGUGAUGUACGUGUGCUAUCAGGGAGGGUUACAUGGAUGGAGUAAGAGAUGUGUAGUACUCCGGUGUAGUAGGUGGCGGUAUGUGCGUUUCACGGGUGUUUGUAAGCCGCCAUUACUCUAAAAGUAGGAGAUUUCCAGUCUUCCGAUCCAUUAACCUCGCGCAGAGUUGAGUCGCUGCGCUUCUUUACGCGUCCAGCGAUUAUGUAAAUGAGGCCAGCGGCCGUAAACUGACUCGUGAGACCAGAAUAUCGUUCAUUCGCGAUGACUGGAAGAUUGUGGACACCCGAAGCGGAGGAGACGCUGAUCGAGCUCUGGCAGGAGUCUGCAUGUCUGUACGACAUUUCGUCCGCCGAUUACCACAACCGGGAGGAGAAGGACAAACGAUGGAAGGAGGUCGCCGAUGCGCUUCAGAUGCCCGCUGGGUUCUGAUAAAGUGGAGGAAACUGCAGACGAGUCGGAUGAAAUGGAGACGGAUAAAGAAGUGGACAGUUUCGACUCCAUCAGCGUGUGUCUCUCCCCGAUGCCCGGCACUCCUGGCUGCUGUAAGCUACCAUAGUAAAAC